rnacentral:lncRNA from 1 species
AUAAGAUUAAAUAAAUAAGAAAGAAAGAAAGUGAAAGGACCAGUCAUCCCCUGGAAGAACAGAUUUUCUACUAACGUAAAAAAAAAAAAACUUUGAUACCAGUGUAAUCACCAACAGGGAUUGAUUUCUGUUUCUUCCAGCCUAAUAAUAGUGCCUUUCCCCCAAAAAAAGUUGUAUUUAGUAUUUGCCGUAUACUGUGGAGUGAAUCCAGUUUUUUAAAAAUCACCAGACAUUGUAUUACCUUUGAGUUAUCUAGAUUCAGUAUUGAUUGGAGAAAUAAACAUUUAAGUGGAAUAUUGAAGCAGUUGAGAAUUUGAAGGUAAAGUAAAAUGAAUGGUCCUUUACCUGAAGCAUUGUUUUGCUCUUCCAACCUGUGUGCCUGCAGCAAGUCCCCAUGAGUUUGAAGUGAUGUUUUCUGACAUGAAGUUGUUCUUGCAUGAUAGACGGUAUGUUGAGAGCCCUGCCUGGGAGAGAGGAGCAGCACCGCAAGAAGCUAUGUCUGGGAAAGCCUUCGGAGGGCCUCUCCACGCUGCAGUGACGGCCUCAGGAGUUGGUUGUUGCACCUCUAAAGUUCAGCCUUGUUAACUCAGAAAAUGAGGAUGGAUUUCGUGAACCAUUGAAAAGUUUGUUAGGAUAUGAAUUAUGUUGACGAGGACAUUUUUAUUUUAGACUUAUUUGUGUAUUUUUCAGAAUAUGGCAAUGUGUUUAAUGCUUUAAUGAGAUCAGUGUCAUCACCAACAGGGAUGGAUUUCUGUUUAUCUCAGUUUCUAUUUAUACAGCCAGUUUGAAAGGGGCUGGCUCACUGGAGUCAUAUCUCAACAGGGAAUUACAUAUCUUUUGAGAAAUAUUAAUUCCUUUGGAUUACAAGGGUGAGAAUUAGUAAACUGUCCAGGGAAAUAAGUGACAAUCUGUUCAUAUUUUAAGAAUCCAUGUAUAGAUAACCAGAAGGGUCAUGUUUAUACCUAAAAUCAUUCUAGCAUUCAAAAAUUACUGAAUUGGGACUGUCUUAAAGUCUCCAUUUUGAAACUAUAUUUUUAAAAUUAGUAAUCUCUUGGGCUGGAGGUCUAGCUCAGUGGUAAAGUACUAGCCAGCAUGUACGAAGCCCUGUGUUACAUUCCCAGCACUGCAAAAGUAAAUAAAUAAAUAAGAUGUUAAUUUCUCCUAAAUUUUUAUUUCACAGUGAUUGUUGGACUAGAGGCCAGUUACACUACAAUUUUGGGUAGCAAUAGAAAGAAAAUGUUAUUCUGAGGCAGUGUUGCUGUUUGAUGUCACUAAAUCUUGAGAUUACUGGCAGUAAGUCUCAAAUUUGGUCAUUAUGUAAAUAGAAAAAUAUGUGAAUGUGGGAUAUUGAAACCAGCAUUUUUAGAAUUCCAUUAAUAAAUGCUUUCCUCAAUAUAAUUUUCCCCUCCAUAUGACCAAUACAGUGUCUAACUGCAAAAGGGAGGCCUGCUAGGAAUAUUUGCAAACCUCAAGAGCACUCAAAGCCUUAAAAGUAAACACAUCCCUUCUGAAUUUUUCUCUCUGAUUUCUUUUUUCGCAGUGCUGAGGAUUUACUCCAGGGCCUUGAACAUGCUCGGCAUGUACUCUACCAUUGAGUCAGGUCCCCGCCCCCCCCCUUUUUUUUUUUAGUUCUCGGUGGACACAACAUCUUUAUUUUAUUUGUAUGUGGUGCUGAGGAUCAAACCCAGCGCCCCGCGCAUGCCAGGCGAGCACGCUGCCACUUGAGCCACAUCCCCAGUCCCUCCCCAGCCCCUUUUUAAAUUUUAUUUUGAGACAGUAUCUGGCUAAGUUGCCCAGGCUGGCCUUAAACUUGUAAUCCUCCUGCCUCAGCCUCCCAAGUAGCAGGGAUUAUAGGUGUCAAUGUACCUGGCUGAUUUCUUCAAUUUUUAUUUGCUGAGAAACUCAGAAAAUUAGUCUGAAGAAUCAUCAUGUUUUAGACUUUCCUGGUUAGGAGGAAGGCCAACAGGCCUGGGGAGUGAUACCUCAUGAGAAUGCUCGAGGACUGGGAAGAGGUGGUGAGAUUUGCCCUUUUUUGUCCCCCUCCUUUCCACAGCAUCACGUGGGACCUCCUACCACUUUUUCAGAGUUAGGCACAGGACAAUCCAAAUGUCAACCAGAUGCCUGGCUUGCACAGCAGCCUGCUUAGGUCCACUGGGAAUUCAAAGUCAUCAUACCACACAGUUGAGAACUGCCAAAAACAUUUUCCAUAGACAUAGAUCAUGGAAGAUGGAGUGUGUGUGUGUGUGUGUGGGGGGGUACCUUUAAAGACAACUAAUGCUAAUUUGAAAAACACUAGUUAAGCUAUUCUUUAAUACUUAUCAACAUAAAAACUCCAUUUAAUCCCUAGCACCACAAGAAAAAAAAAUUCUAAGAUUGCUCAUCUCCCGAAUUGCUUUAUUAUUGUAAUACAAGCAUAAGUUCUUUGAUUUAUUGUUUUAUACUUCUAGUUCAUCUGAUACACCAAUCAACAAAUAUUUUGUGAGACUCAGAAGUCAAAUAUAUACUGCUAGAUUUUAUGGAUUUUUGUAUUGGGGUGGGAUAUCAGGAAGGAAAGUAUAUAAUCAGGAAACUAUGGAAAUAAAACAUUGAUAUUUCGUGGAAAGAGCCUUGUAGAGGUCACAGUGCUGAGCUGUUUCAUUAUCCAAACACCAGGGUUGAGGUGAACUGAGAGAAAGCAGAGGAGGUGGAGAUUACUCUGUGAGGGGAUGAUUGGGUUGCCCCCAAGCAUUGCAGAGCUGGACCCAGAAACCACCUGGAUUUGCAGAAACUAUAUGUGGCAGUGUUGACUCAGUUCUGCAAAUUCCCAGGCAAGAGAUUUCAUCCCUUAGCAAGAUGAAGAAGGUAAUGGUAAAUUCAUACUUAGUAAAGAAUAGCCCUGCUGGAGGUAGCUAAGCACUCACCUGGUUUACUUCAUGUCUGUAAUGGGAGUAGAUACAGGUUUAUGUGUUUUUAUUGUAUUACUGGUAAAACUUUUUUAAUCUGGCUUUUCUAUUUUUUCUACCUCAACUUACUGAGUUUGAAAAUAUGCCAUUUACUCAUAAGGCUUCCUCUUUUUAUUCAUGAGUGGGUCCGUCCUAGGAUUGAUCAUAACAACCUACUUUUGACACACUUUCGAGUAUUCCUUAAGAGUCCUGGUAUUGCCUAUAAUGGUCACAUGACAAUGAGCUGAGCACAUUGCUAGUAUGUUUUAGAACUAAAGUAAACAUCAAUGCAGUAUUUUUAUUUCAUGUGUAACAUCCCUGAAGUCUUGUUGCUCUUUUGCUAUCAUUAUUAUAAAAUAUUUCAGAUACAUAAAAAAAUACAAAUAGUUAUAACAAAUACUUUACUCAUGUACCUAAUAUGCAGAAUUAAUAUAUGUUACCACUUGGGAGUUUAGUCCUGUUUUGAGAUCUGAGGUAGAACCUUUCUUUGCAUCUUUUCUACAUUUGCUUGAGAGCACAUUGUGGUUUUCUGAAAGAUCAUCCAUGCUCACUGCAGGACAGCAGGGUUUUAAAAUCCAGCCCUAGAGCCUCCAAGGACUGUUACCCAGACAGCUGAGAUUAAGCCUCCUUUUUUAAAAAUUUUUUUAAGUUGUCAAUGGACCUUUAUUUUGUUUUAUUUAUAUGUGGUGCUGAGAAUUGAAUCCAGUGCCUCACACAUACUAGGCAAGCACUGUACCAUUGAGCUAUGACCCCAGCCCCUAAGCCUCCUUUUAAAACAUUCUUUGUAGUCUUUCUGUAUCUGAUUUCUUAAUUCUCUAAUAAUUCUGUGAUAGUUUUCCUAAGAGGAAACCAGCUGCCCUUAUGUGAGGUAGGGGAGGUCUGCUGGGCCAAGGUUUUCUGACUCCUCUGGUGGAGCAGACCCCCUACCAGGUACGCCUGGCCUGCAGCAGAACCUGGUGGCAGAAGUGUCCUCACUUGGGAUGGGGAGAUCUGCCUUACCACCUGGGAAGGAGAUUCUGAGUUACAGCCCCUGAAAUGCAGGCUUCCUGUUUCUGGCUAACAUUUAGAUGUUUGGAAUCAUUUAUUUAUUCAACUCCUGGGCACCCUACGCUAGGCUCUCAGCUUGAAAUGCUUUGGAUACUUUUUGAAACAGAAAAAAUAUAAAUCUUAAUUCACAAAAUGGAAUUUUGAAAAGUUUGAUUCAUCCAUUAAUAGACUACUCUGAAAAAAAUUUUGCUGAAGUUUACACAAAGCAAUGAGUUAUUCAGAAAUUUUUCUCAAUUUUGAAACCUUUUAUUGAUAUCCUGGAAUUGUUGUGUUGGCUCUGUUACAGUUUUGUUUUUAUAACACAAGGAAAUCAAGUUGGACCAGGGUUUCUCAGACUUGGCACAAUUGACACUUGGGAUUCUGAUAUUCUGUGAAGCUGCUCUGUGCAUUUUAGAAUGUUAGCCACAUCCCUGGCCUCCAGUGAAAACCACUGACAUAAAAAAGUUUGUACAUAACUGCAAAAACCCAUGUUAGGCCUAAGAACAUCUCAUUUAGUAUAACAAUUGCACUGGGGGCUUUUUACAAUCAGGUAUCAAAAUCUGAGGAUGACCAAUUCCUCAGAAUCAUCUUUUAAAAGUCUUUUUAAAAAUUGUGUUUAUGCUGGGCGCAGUGAUACAUGUCUGUAAUCCUAGCAGCUUGGGUGUUGAGGCAGGAGAAUUGUAACUUAGCAAGGCUGUAGGCAAACUAGUGAGACCCUGUCUCAAAUUAAAAUAUAAAAAGGGCUGGGGAUGUGGCUCAGUGGUUAAGCACUUUUGCGUUCAAUCCCCAGUACAAAAAUACACACCCACAUAUAUAUAUGUGUGUGUGUGUGUGUGUGUGUAUUUAUUACAGAGUAGGUAAAAAAUAGUUUGCAUUUUUCUCCAAUUUUUGCUUUUGUUCCCCUUUCAGUACCAAGGAUUGAAUGCAAGGCCUCGCACCAACUAGUCAAGUACUCCACCACUCAACCACAUCCCGACUCCAAUUUUUAAAAUUUUUUUUAUAGUCGUAGAUGGACAGAAUGCCUUUAUUUUGUUUAUUUUUGUGUAGUGCUGAGGAUUGAACCCAGCGCCUCACACAUGCUAGCAAGCACUCUGCCACUGAGCUAUAGCCACAACCCCAGUGUUGUUUUUUUUUUUUUUUUUGGUGGGAGGUGUCGGGGUUUCUAGCCCCUCCUGACCUGCUGGAGAGAUUGGGGAGAGCGCCCCGGCCAGGAUGAGCCAAGAAAGGAGAGGGCCGACUAACAGCCCCCACCCAGCCCUCCCUCCUGGAGGACAAUCAGAUGCAUCAAGGAGACCAGUCAAGGCUGGAGCUCGUUUAUUGAGGAAGCACACACAGCAGCUAAUAUAAGGCACAGGAGCCAAUCAGGAUAAAGGUCAGCAGGGUGAGGAGAGUUCACGUGUACACCCAUCCUACAGGCAGGCAGGGGAGACACGAGCUGUCCACCUGUCCACGAGGGCGGAAGGGUUCUGAGCCUAUCCUAGAGGUGGUCCGAUUUUUCUUCACAACCCAGGCAACGCCUUCUGGCUGAUCGCCAGGUGCCGUCUUAGCCAUGUGCGGCCCCAAGACCAGGAAGUGAGCAUCAGUCUGCAAGUUAGGUUUCCUUUUCUCCAUCAUAGGUUUCUAUUUCUCUGAUGUGACGUGCCCUACACGAGGUACCAGGGGUUGAACUCAGGGGCACUCAACAACUGAGCCACCUCCCCACCCCUAUUUUUUUAAUUUUUUUUUUAUAUAUUUAUUUUAUUUAUUUUUAUGUGGUGCCGAGAAUUGAACACUCGCAUAUGUGCAACUCCAGCACCCCCACUCCUAUUUUUUGUAUUUUAUUUAGACACAGUGACUCACUGAGUUGCUUAGCACCUUGCUUUUGCUGAGGCUGGCUUUGAACUCACCAUCCUUUUGCCUCAGCCUCCAGAGCAGCUGGGAUUACAGGCAUUCGCCUCCAAGCCUGGCCCCAGACCCCAAUUUUAAAUUAGGAGGGGAGUAGUAAAACCUUAGUUUCUGUCUUGUUUUGCUUGUUUUCCAAGUUACUGAUGUAUAUGAAUAAACCAGACAAUUUUGCAAACACUCCUAAACUGCAAUAAUUUUUCCAACCAAUGGAAGACCAAAGGAGUUGCUAUACUUAAUCACUACAUCAAUCAAUCAGAAAUUCAAUUCAAUUGAAUUGGGUGGGGUUCUGGUCAUAAUGGGGAUAUCAUAUAAAGAAUCAAGCUUGACUUACUUCUCUCUGGAAAAAAUAAUUAAAUUUCUUAUAGUUGAUUCCCAGUAUAGAAACCUGAAAUAUCUGCCACAUGGUCUUAGUUGGCAUAGGCAGCAUGGAUAGAAUAUAUUGUUCAGAAUAAUUUUAUCUUAUUGGUUAGCCAAGUAGCCUUUAAUUGCUUGAAUUAGCACUGACAUGUAUCUUAAAGUCAUGGAUGUUUUUAAUGCAAUUACUAUUCACCAUUAAAAAUUCAAUGAGGGCUGAGGUUAUGGCUCAGUGGUAGAGCGCUCACCUAGCACGUGCAAGGCACUGGGUUCAAUCCUCAUAUACAUAUAAAUAAAUAAAUAAAGAUAUUUUAAAAAUCAAUGAAUCUAUUUAAUAUCAUGCAGAAAUUUUCUGUCAUGUAAGUCAAUUUAUUGAAUAUUCUGCACCUAAGUAAAACAAACCCCACUAAUAUUCAAUAGGCCCAGUUAAAAAUGAGGCCUAUUGGCUUGGGUUGUGGCUCAGUGGUAGAGUGCGUGCUUAGCAUGUGUGAGGCACUGGGUUCGAUUCUCAGCACUGCAUAUAAAUAAAUGAAUAAAAUAAAAGUCCAUCAACAUCUUAAGAACAUCGUAUUUCUAUAUAAUAAUUUAAUUCAGAAACUUUGAAAUGAUAAUCUCCCUGUCCUAUAGGUCACCCCUCCUCAAAGACAUGAGGCUUGCUUAUUUAUUUACUUUAGAUGAGGCCUCAGUGUGCUGCCCAGGCCAGCCUAGAACUCCUGGUCUUACAUUAUCCUCCUGCCUCAGCCUCUCAUGUGGGUGGAACUACAGACUUGAGUCACUGGUCUUGAACCAAACUGAUAUUUUUGGUAUUCAUUUCCAAAUAUCCAACUCACGUGCCUAUGUUGUCCCUUAAUAGUUUUAUUCUUUGGUUUUAGGCAUUAUCUUUUUAAUUUCUACCAUGGAAAAGUUUAGUUUCACCUCACCCUCUCUCCAUAUACUUCCCUUUUUCCAUCCUCCCAAUACUGUUAGAAUUUUAUUGUGGUUGUCCCAAAAUUCACUGUUGUGACUAUGUAAAUACUAGUCAGAGCUUUGUCAUGUUGUAUUCUAUGAUUACUUUUUCUUUCCAUGUAGAACUCCCUUUCCUGAAUUAAAAAUUUGUAUUUUGGUGGUGGGAGUUGCUUGGUCUUCUAUUUAAUUACGAAUCUGUAGCCAAACUCUUCUCUCAGUUGUACAGUUUCCCAGUAUGUUCCAACCCAUUAGGUAUCCUCAAAAAUCCUUCUAGAAGAAAUCCCUCACAGGGCCUUCUGACUAUCUCCAGUCUGAACCUAUGGUUCCAUUGACCUUCUGUUCCCAUGUUUUAUGGGGCUCUCUCCACAACCACCCUGGAGAGAGCCUUCAUCUUUUUCUUUCAUCUGAUUCCCUCUCUCAAUUUGGUGAAGCAUGUUUUUCAGAAGAUUCCUGAGAACGGUACGUGGUGAUGGGUUGUCCCCAAGACCACCCACCACUUGUUGUGGAACUUUUCACCUUUCUUAUUCUUACCGAUAACAGUCCAGGGACCUUCACAUUGAAGCUUUGAUGAUGCUUCCUAAGAAGUUGCAGUUCUAAUCCAUAAACCCAAAUUUUAAGUGGCAAAUCUGAGAGGUUUUAGGCAAGUGUGUUUUACUACAAAAGUUUAAAGCUUUAUCUUCACAUGCAAGGAGAAGCCACUGUGAUAGCCAAUCGAAUAAUGCUCAACCCAUCUCCCCAUUGUUGGGUGGAAGGCUCACGCGUUCAGAUAAUUUCCAGCCAGGGAGGCUCUCCCUUUCUUGGCUAACGUUGCUGCCAAAGUGACAAACCUCAUUUCUUCCUGCCCACCUGUCUCCUGGGGAUUACCCAGAAUCGGACACCAUCAGGAACUCUCCCAAAAAUUCUGAGAAUCUUUUUAAGGAGCCAUUGCUGGUGGUUUGGUAAUUGGUCGACACCUGCAGGCAGACUGAAUGGCCCUUCUCUGGCCACUUCCUCCUCCUGCCUGCAGAUGAUGCUGGUUCUGGAUAAACUGAAGGGAACAGGAUGACGAGGGUGCAGGGCCAAGGUGUCCUUUGCAAAAUGUGUCAGAAACUAACAG